rnacentral:rRNA from 1 species
GUGAGGAAUAUUGGUCAAUGGGCGCAAGCCUGAACCAGCCAUGCCGCGUGCAGGAAGACGGUCCUAUGGAUUGUAAACUGCUUUUAUUUGGGAAUAAACUCCGGUACGUGUACCGGCCUGAAGGUACCAAAUGAAUAAGCACCGGCUAACUCCGUGCCAGCAGCCGCGGUAAUACGGAGGGUGCAAGCGUUAUCCGGAAUCAUUGGGUUUAAAGGGUCCGCAGGCGGUCUUAUAAGUCAGUGGUGAAAGCCUACAGCUCAACUGUAGAACUGCCAUUGAUACUGUAGGACUUGAAUUCGAUCGAAGUGGGCGGAAUGUGACAUGUAGCGGUGAAAUGCUUAGAUAUGUCACAGAACACCGAUGGCGAAGGCAAUCCCCUUGGCCUGCACUGACGCUCAUGCACGAAAGCGUGGGGAGCAAACAGGAUUAGAUACCCGUGUAGUCC